GGUGCGUAACGCGUGGGAAUCUGCCCUUGGGUUCGGAAUAACUCGCCGAAAGGCGUGCUAAUACCGGAUGAUGUCGAAAGACCAAAGAUUUAUCGCCCAAGGAUGAGCCCGCGUAAGAUUAGGUAGUUGGUGAGGUAAAGGCUCACCAAGCCGACGAUCUUUAGCUGGUCUGAGAGGAUGAUCAGCCACACUGGGACUGAGACACGGCCCAGACUCCUACGGGAGGCAGCAGUGGGGAAUAUUGGACAAUGGGCGAAAGCCUGAUCCAGCAAUGCCGCGUGAGUGAUGAAGGCCUUAGGGUUGUAAAGCUCUUUUACCCGGGAUGAUAAUGACAGUACCGGGAGAAUAAGCUCCGGCUAACUCCGUGCCAGCAGCCGCGGUAAUACGGAGGGAGCUAGCGUUGUUCGGAAUUACUGGGCGUAAAGCGCACGUAGGCGGCUUUGUAAGUCAGAGGUGAAAGCCUGGAGCUCAACUCCAGAACUGCCUUUGAGACUGCAUCGCUUGAAUCCAGGAGAGGUGAGUGGAAUUCCGAGUGUAGAGGUGAAAUUCGUAGAUAUUCGGAAGAACACCAGUGGCGAAGGCGGCUCACUGGACUGGUAUUGACGCUGAGGUGCGAAAGCGUGGGGAGCAAACAGGGUUAGAUACCCUGGUAGUCCACGCCGUAAACGAUGAUAACUAGCUGUCCGGGCACUUGGUGCUUGGGUGGCGCAGCUAACGCAUUAAGUUAUCCGCCUGGGGAGUACGGUCGCAAGAUUA
rnacentral:rRNA from 1 species